AGUGAACGCUGGCGGUAGGCCUAACACAUGCAAGUCGAACGGCAGCACAGUAAGAGCUUGCUCUUACGGGUGGCGAGUGGCGGACGGGUGAGGAAUACGUCGGAAUCUACUUUUUCGUGGGGGAUAACGUAGGGAAACUUACGCUAAUACCGCAUACGACCUACGGGUGAAAGCAGGGGAUCUUCGGACCUUGCGCGACUGAAUGAGCCGAUGUCGGAUUAGCUAGUUGGCGGGGUAAAGGCCCACCAAGGCGACGAUCCGUAGCUGGUCUGAGAGGAUGAUCAGCCACACUGGAACUGAGACACGGUCCAGACUCCUACGGGAGGCAGCAGUGGGGAAUAUUGGACAAUGGGCGCAAGCCUGAUCCAGCCAUACCGCGUGGGUGAAGAAGGCCUUCGGGUUGUAAAGCCCUUUUGUUGGGAAAGAAAAGCAGCAGGUUAAUACCCCGCUGUUCUGACGGUACCCAAAGAAUAAGCACCGGCUAACUUCG
rnacentral:rRNA from 1 species